ACAUGACUACAAUAUAGCGUUAAUGGACCAGGUCCCAUCAUAACUCCACAUUUAAGAGAAUUUGGGCUAGAGUAGUACUAAGAUGGGUGUCCUCCCGAGAAUUCCUAGUGUUUUACAUGCC
rfam:Picea glauca, whole genome shotgun sequence.